UUAAGAAGUUGAGCCCAUCCCCCAUACGUGAGGUAACAAAAAAGAAUAAUAAAAAAUAGCAAGUAAAUGCAAAUUUAAUAAUCUACAAUUUUUAGUAUAAACUUUAAAAAUUGACAAUAAAUGAUUAAAACUAAUUUAUUUAUCACUAAUAAUAAAUACAUAAUUAUUUAUACUCUAUAUAAUUUGAGUAAAUUUGGGGCCUUAAUUUUUUGGGGGCCUAAAGUCACUGCUUUAGUGGUUUUAGGGUUGAGCCUCCACUGGCACAAACGAUACAACCAAUAUACAAGACGUAAAGAACAUGAUACAUGGAGCAAAGUCGAAACUAUUAUCAACAUUGAUACAUGAUCUUUCACAUCUAUGCCACAGUAUGAGAAUCCUAGUAUCAAAAUUUCCUUUACAAUUAUGUCCGCACACUAUACCCUUCAUUUAUGAAAACAAAUUAUUAUUACAAUAGACAAAAUCCAAACAACAAUAAAAGAUGAAGGAAAAUAGUCAUGAUUUUAUAUUAAACCAGAUCUAAAAAAAUAUAGAGGUGAGAGAACAUACUUACUUGGACUAGAAUUGACCUUAAUCAACAAUUAAAACAACUAGAAAGCCAAGCAAGAGCUGAAAUCAAUGAGCUGAGAAAAAUCAGCUACAACAACAGAUAGUGACUCAACCAGCGAGGGAAUAGCGACAAACAGCAGCUCCUCAGUCCAACAGCUCCAAAUUCCUUUUUUGACCGUUUGCUCUGUUUUGUUUUGUUCAUGAGAAUUUUUUUUGUUCUUUUUCUUUUUCAAAUCUGAAACUCGGAUUUUUCUUAUUUUGAAUCCAGAACUCUUUUUAGCUUUGUUCCAUCAGAGAUUAGUGUGUGGGUGAGGUGAGAAACUGGAGAGAGGAGGGUGAAAGCUACGCCAUUUUUUGGAAGGGAAAGGGUCUAUCUUGGUCUUUGAUGGGAAAAUGAAGGAGAAAGCUUUUUUCUUAACUCCCCCAAAGGCGCCAUUCUCUGUUGCUCUCUGUCAGGGGAGCGUAU
rnacentral:lncRNA from 1 species